rnacentral:SRP_RNA from 1 species
GCUGGGUGUGGUGGCUCAUGCCUGAGUCUCAGCUACACAGGAGGCUGAGGCAGGAGGAUCACUUGAGGCCAGGCAUUUGUAGUGUGCUAUGUUGGUUGGGUGUGUACACUAAGUUUAAUCUCAAUAUGGUGAUCUCCUGGGAGUGGGGGAACACCAGGUUGACUAAGGAGAGGUAGAUGGGCCCAGGUCAAAAAUGGAGCAGGUCAGAACACCCAUGAUGGUCAGUAGCGGGCUCAUGCCUGUGAAUAGCUACUACACUCCAGCCUGGGCAACAUAGCAAGACUUU